rnacentral:rRNA from 1 species
AUAAGAGGUCCAGCCUGCCCAGUGACUUUGUUCAACGGCCGCGGUAUCCUAACCGUGCGAAGGUAGCGUAAUCACUUGUUCUUUAAAUGAGGACUAGUAUGAAUGGCACCACGAAGGUUAUACUGUCUCCUUUUUCUAAUCAGUGAAACUAAUCUUCCCGUGAAGAAGCGGGAAUAAACAUAUAAGACGAGAAGACCCUAUGGAGCUUUAAACAAACAUACAAUUGCCUUCAACAAAAAAAAUUCCAGAAGAAAAACCUUUAUUUAGGCAUCCUGUCAUGACGUUUUAGGUUGGGGUGACCACGGAGUAAAAUUUAACCUCCGCAAUGAACGGGGCUUUCCCCUAAGAUAAGAGCUACGACUCUAAUAAUCAACAAAUUGACACCAAUUGACCCAAUACACUUGAUCAAUGAACCAAGUUACCCUAGGGAUAACAGCGCAAUCCACUUCAAGAGCCCCUAUCGACAAGUGGGUUUACGACCUCGAUGUUGGAUCAGGGUAUCCUAGUGGUGCAGCCGCUACUGAUGGUUCGUUUGUUCAACGAUUAAAACCCUACGUGAUCUGAGUUCAGACCGGAGUAAUCCAGGUCAGUUUCUAUCUAUAAAGAGCUUUUUCUAGUACGAAAGGACCGAAAAAGCACGGCCUAUACCUAACGCAAGCCGUAGCAACCAAUUUAUGACACAGC